GAUGAACGCUGGCGGCGUGCCUAAUACAUGCAAGUCGAGCGAACGGACGAGAAGCUUGCUUCUCUGAUAUUAGCGGCGGACGGGUGAGUAACACGUGGAUAACCUACCUAUAAGACUGGGAUAACUUCGGGAAACCGUAGCUAAUACCGGAUAAUAUUUUGAACCGCAUGGUUCAAAAGUGAAAGACGGUCUUGCUGUCACUUAUAGAUGGAUCCGCGCUGCAUCAGCUAGUUGGUAAGGUAACGGCUUACCAAGGCAACGAUGCAUAGCCGACCUGAGAGGGUGAUCGGCCACACUGGAACUGAGACACGGUCCAGACUCCUACGGGAGGCAGCAGUAGGGAAUCUUCCGCAAUGGGCGAAAGCCUGACGGAGCAACGCCGCGUGAGUGAUGAAGGUCUUCGGAUCGUAAAACUCUGUUAUUAGGGAAGAACAUAUGUGUAAGUAACUGUGCACAUCUUGACGGUACCUAAUCAGAAAGCCACGGCUAACUACGUG
rnacentral:rRNA from 1 species